rnacentral:rRNA from 1 species
UAAUACGGAGGGGGCUAGCGUUGUUCGGAUUUACUGGGCGUAAAGGGCGCGUAGGCGGUAUGUCAUGUCAGGGGUGAAAGGCCUGGGCUCAACCCAGGAACUGCCUUUGAAACUGGCAAACUAGAGUCCGAUAGAGGAUGGCGGAAUUCCCAGUGUAGAGGUGAAAUUCGUAGAUAUUGGGAAGAACACCAGUGGCGAAGGCGGCCAUCUGGAUCGGCACUGACGCUGAGGCGCGAAAGCGUGGGGAGCAAACAGGAUUAGAUACCCUGGUAGUCCACGCCGUAAACGAUGUGUGCUAGACGUUGGGGGCCUUAGGCCCUGAGUGUCGCAGCUAACGCGUUAAGCACACCGCCUGGGGAGUACGGCCGCAAGGUUA